rnacentral:rRNA from 1 species
UACGUAGGGUGCGAGCGUUGUCCGGAAUUAUUGGGCGUAAAGAGCUUGUAGGCGGUUUGUCGCGUCUGCCGUGAAAAUCCGGGGCUCAACCCCGGACUUGCGGUGGGUACGGGCAGACUAGAGUGUGGUAGGGGAGACUGGAAUUCCUGGUGUAGCGGUGGAAUGCGCAGAUAUCAGGAGGAACACCAAUAGCGAAGGCAGCUCGCUGGGACGUUACUGACACUGAGGCGCGAAAGCGUGGGGAGCGAACAGG